rnacentral:rRNA from 1 species
GCUUGUCUCAAAGAUUAAGCCAUGCAUGUCUAAGUAUAAACAACUUUGUACUGUGAAACUGCGAAUGGCUCAUUAUAUCAGUUAUAGUCUACUCGAUAGUACCUUACUACUUGGAUAACCGUAGUAAUUCUAGAGCUAAUACAUGCGUAAAUACCCAACUGCUUGUCGGACGGGUAGCAUUUAUUAGAUUGAAACCAAUGCAGCUUCGGCUGGUAUUGUGUUGAGUCAUAAUAACUGAGCGAAUCGCAUGGCCUUGUGCCGGCGAUGGUUCAUUCAAGUUUCUGCCCUAUCAGCUUUCGAUGGUAGGGUAUUGGCCUACCAUGGCGUUAACGGGUAACGGAGAAUUAGGGUUCGAUUCCGGAGAGGGAGCCUGAGAAACGGCUACCACAUCCAAGGAAGGCAGCAGG